GAGCUCAAUGAAGCCCCCUCAACUAAAGGCGGGUUUCCCGCCUGAGGGGGCUGAUGUGCGAAAGCUUUAAAAAGUAAGUUCAAAAGUAGGGUUAGGC
rfam:Pyrococcus furiosus DSM 3638, complete genome.